GUGAGUAUAGCUCAGUGGUAGAGCACAUACUUAGCAUGCACGAUGUCCUAGGUUCAAUCCCCAGUAAAUCCA
rnacentral:tRNA from 1 species